AACACAGAGGGAGUACAUUGGCAUCCCGGCUCACUAUGCUUUCAUAACGGGAAUUGUUCUCCCAACAUGCCUGACUUGACCUGGUAUCCAAGUGGCCCAGGGAGAACUGCAACCACCACACUCUCUUUCUGUGAAAUACAAAUAAUUCAGUUCAAGCAUGCGAAUCCACUUCUGUGAAGCUCGUAACAGCAUUGAACUCUUAAAUAAUCACUGCCCCCUGAGUACAACACAGAUCAGAGUGUCAUCCUGAGCAAAUUGUUCUAAGCAGUUUUCAAGUUUUUGCUUGUGCCCAUUUCUCUGUACUUCACCGAUAAUUUCUGGAAGAAAAGGUUAGAGAAGAGCACGACCUCCUUAGGAGCACCAGAUCCCUCCAUCAGGUUCAACAGAGGUUUCUCUUUAUUGGAAAGGGUGAACAGAGCUCACCAGUUUGCCUGGAUGAGUGUUUUCCUGUUUGCCAUUGCUACUGGUUCCAGUACACAGACAGGUGAGG